GUCUACGGCCACACCACCCUGAACGCGCCUGAUCUCGGAAGCUAAGCAGGGUCGGGCCUGGUUAGAACUUGGAUGGGAGACCGCCUGGGAAUACCGGGUGCCGUAGGCU
rnacentral:rRNA from 1 species